rnacentral:lncRNA from 1 species
UACUUGAAUGACAUUUAAAUCUGAUUUUGCUAAGAAAUGUAUGAAUUAAAAGUUGGAUUACUUACUUGAUGACAGAGAGGGAUAAACAGAUUCACAUAUCUCUUCGUAUUCUUAUGAUUUCAAGGGAACUUGAAGAGGUCCCUAACACAUCCUUGUGACCAACCUGUGGAAAGAAAUGGAUGAAGAUGGCAUAGCAUAGACAGGCAUGGAUGAAUUGCAAUCCAUAUCAUUGGGAAGGUAAGGAGGCUGUGUUUAAACUCUUAAGGUUAGAAGGAAGAUGCUAUAAUUAUUCCAUAAACUUCACCAGACUGCUAAAGGAUUUCUUAAGGCAAAAAAGAUGAAGAACCUCUCAUGUAAAUAUACUUUCUUUCAUACUGUUUUCUAGUUUGCUCAUAAGUUGUUGUCAAAUAUUGAAUCCUUAGCCUAGGUCUUAGUAUAUCUCAGUUUAUCAAAUACUGUUAGGUGUUCUUUUGCUUUAGUAUAUCUUUUGCUUUAGUAUAUCACUUUAUCUGUCCCACUGAUCAAUUUUUCUACUUUUGAAGAAGUACCAAACAAUUUUGAUGAGUAUGGCUUUAUGUUAUAAUUUGAAAUCUGGCACUUCUAGGUUUCCUUUGUUCUCAUUCCACUCUCCCCCUCAUUUCCCUUAAGAUGAAAUUUGUCAUUUUUAUAGAUUGAAAAGAUUUUAUGAAAACCAAACAACCAAUUUCAAAAAGGAAAAAGGUGAACUCAAUAAGCAAUGAGAGGAAUAAAAGAAAAUAUAAGUAAAUAAAUUUUGCCCA